rnacentral:rRNA from 1 species
GACGAACGCUGGCGGCGCGCCUAACACAUGCAAGUCGAACGGAGCUGAGAGGAGCUUGCUUUUCUUAGCUUAGUGGCGAACGGGUGAGUAACGCGUGAGUAACCUGCCCUGGAGUGGGGGACAACAGUUGGAAACGACUGCUAAUACCGCAUAAGCCCACGGUACCGCAUGGUACUGAGGGAAAAGGAUUUAUUCGCUCUAGGAUGGACUCGCGUCCAAUUAGUUAGUUGGUGAGGUAAUGGCCCACCAAGACUUUGAUCAGUAGCAGGCGUGAGAGCGUGACCUGCCCCACUGGGACUGAGACACUGCCCAGACUCCUACGGGAGGCUGCAGUCAAGAAUAUUCGACAAUGGGCGAAAGCCUGAUCGAGCGACGCCGCGUGCAGGAAGAAGCCCCUCGGGGUGUAAACUGCUUUUCUCAGGGAAGAAUUUGUGACGGUACCUGAGGAAUAAGAGGUUGCUAACUCUGUGCCAGCAGCCGCCGUAA